rnacentral:rRNA from 1 species
AACGCUAGCUACAGGCUUAACACAUGCAAGUCGAGGGGCAGCAUGAACUUAGCUUGCUAAGUUUGAUGGCGACCGGCGCACGGGUGAGUAACGCGUAUCCAACCUUCCGUACACUCAGGAAUAGCCUUUCGAAAGAAAGAUUAAUACCUGAUGGUAUGAUGAGAUUGCAUGAAAUCAUCAUUAAAGAUUCAUCGGUGUACGAUGGGGAUGCGUUCCAUUAGAUAGUAGGCGGGGUAACGGCCCACCUAGUCAACGAUGGAUAGGGGUUCUGAGAGGAAGGUCCCCCACAUUGGAACUGAGACACGGUCCAAACUCCUACGGGAGGCAGCAGUGAGGAAUAUUGGUCAAUGGGCGCGAGCCUGAACCAGCCAAGUAGCGUGAAGGAUGAAGGUCCUACGGAUUGUAAACUUCUUUUAUAAGGGAAUAAAGUCACCCACGUGUAGGUGUUUGUAUGUACCUUAUGAAUAAGCAUCGGCUAACUCCGUGCCAGCAGCCGCGGUAAUACGGAGGAUGCGAGCGUUAUCCGGAUUUAUUGGGUUUAAAGGGAGCGUAGACGGGUCGUUAAGUCAGCUGUGAAAGUUUGAGGCUCAACCUUAAAAUUGCAGUUGAUACUGGCGUCCUUGAGUACGGUUGAGGCAGGCGGAAUUCGUGGUGUAGCGGUGAAAUGCAUAGAUAUCACGAAGAACUCCGAUUG